AAAGAUUAGAUAUAGCUUAGCAAAUAAUUCAUGGUUUAAUAAUUUUUCAGAAGUGAGGCUCAAAAAUCUUGUAGCUCCCGCAUCGGAUCAUUACUCCAUCUUGUUGGAUAGAACUCAAGAGGUGCAUUCCCUCCCAUUUAUCUCGUCGAAGUUGUUUGUCGUUAUGAGAAUGCAUGGAAUCAUGAACUUCGCUUCAGAGGCAUGGUAACUGAUUGCUGGCACAUGCUUACUGAGCAUUCUAUUUUACCUAAACUGAGGUGUUGUGCAGAUGAUAUCUCGAUGUGGAGCUACUUUGCAUUCUACUACAAAAGAAACCCCCAUUCAGACUCACUUAUAUAUGGCUCUAAGUAGUGAUCCUAAUCAAGAAAUGGAAGCUGAGCUAGAGAGCCACACCACACAUCCCUUUCAAGACAUCGAAAACAUCUCAAAAGAACUCGACUUAAUUCCUAGAAGCGACCAAAUGCUUCACCACUCUCGUAAAUGCCAUGAUAAAGCAAAUUGUAGCUGCGAAGUAUAACAAAAAGGCGCCUUAGAAAAUUCUUGGUCCUCCGAAGAGUCAACGUCGGAGGGGAAAAUUAGCUCGAAAUUAGGAGGUUUUGUACAAAGUAAAGAUGAAUUUGGGCAACAGAGUCUACACUUUUGAAACCCUCCUCGAUUUAUUGUUUUAGUUAAGAUUCUAGUAGUUAGUUAAUACUAAGGAUAUUCAUACCAUUACCACAUGAACUUCAUAUGCAUACUUUGGUUGCAGUUCUGCAUUGUUUGAUUUAUAAUGAGUGUAUUUUUUCUAUUUAGGUGAAGAAGUUUCCAAAGUGGGAAAAACUAGGGAGUAGACAUUAGUUGUUUCUGUCAAUCUCAAUCAGUUUUUUUAUAUUAGUUGGUGAAGGCAGAGUUUUUCAAUUGAGGAUAUUUCUCAUUCGUGGAAGUGCAUCAUGAUCUAGAAGGCGGAGAAAGAGUUUGUUUGAGGAAUAUUUCAUGUUAGUUAAGAAGAUUCUGAUGUCCCUGUG
rnacentral:lncRNA from 1 species